rnacentral:rRNA from 1 species
AGGACGAACGCUGGCGGCGUGCUUAACACAUGCAAGUCGAGCGGUAAGGCCUUUCGGGGUACACGAGCGGCGAACGGGUGAGUAACACGUGGGUGAUCUGCCCUGCACCCUGGGAUAAGCCUGGGAAACUGGGUCUAAUACCGGAUAUGACCUGCUCUCGCAUGGGGGUGGGUGGAAAGAUUUAUCGGUGCAGGAUGGGCCCGCGGCCUAUCAGCUUGUUGGUGGGGUAAUGGCCUACCAAGGCGACGACGGGUA